AGGACGAACGCUUGCGGCGUGCCUAAGAAAUGCAAGUCGAGCGGAUGAGAGACUUCGGUCUCAAAAUUAGCGGCGAACGGUCGCGUAACACGUAGGCAACCUGCCCCAAAGACCGGGACAACAGUUCGAAAGGACUGCUAAUACCGGAUGUGGUCACGGAGGGACAUCCCUUUGUGAGUAAACCGAGCAAUCGGCUUUGGGAGGGCCUGCGGCCUAUCAGCUAGAUGGUGGGUAACGGCCUACCAUGGCGACGACGGGUAG
rnacentral:rRNA from 1 species